UCCAGGGUUGCCUAAUGGACAUGGCAUCUGUCCGGUAAGCGGAACACUGUGGGUUCGAUUCCCAUCCCUGGAC
rnacentral:tRNA from 1 species